rnacentral:rRNA from 1 species
GACGAACGCUGGCGGCGUGCUUAACACAUGCAAGUCGAACGGAAAGGCCCCUUUGGGGGUACUCGAGUGGCGAACGGGUGAGUAACACGUGAGUAACCUGCCCUUGACUUCGGGACAACUUCAGGACACUGGGGCUAAUACCGGAUAGGAAUCCUUGCUGCAUGGUGGGGGUUGGAAAGCUUCGGCGGUUUUGGAUGGACUCGCGGCUUAUCAGCGUGUUGGUGGGGUAGUGGCUUACCAAGGCUUUGACGGGUAGCCGGCCUGAGAGGGCGACCGGCCACAUUGGGACCGGGGUACGGCCCAGACGCCUACGGGCGGCAGCAGUGGGGAAUAUUGCACCAUGGGCGGGAGCCUGAUGCAGCGACGCCGCGUGCGGGAUGACGGCCUUCGGGUUGUAAACCGCUUUCAGCAGGGGCGAGGCUUGUGGUGACGGUACCUGCAGAAGAAGCACCGGCUAACUACGUG